rnacentral:rRNA from 1 species
AUAUCAAGGUUGACCUCGGAUCAGGUAGGAAGACCCGCUGAACUUAA